rfam:Chelonia mydas contig257144, whole genome shotgun sequence.
GGGGAUGUAGCUCCGUGGUAGAGCGCAUGCUUUGCAUGUAUGAGGCCCUGGGUUCAAUCCCCAGCAUCUCCA